CCUACGGGUGGCAGCAGUGAGGAAUAUUGGUCAAUGGUCGCGAGACUGAACCAGCCAAGCAGCGUGAAGGAGGACUGCCCUACGGGUUGUAAACUUCUUUUAUCAAGGAAUAAAGUCAGGCACGUGUCCCCGGAUGUGUGUACUUUAUGAAUAAGCAUCGGCUAACUCCGUGCCAGCAGCCGCGGUAAUACGGAGGAUUCGAGCGUUAUCCGGAUUUAUUGGGUUUAAAGGGAGGGUAGGUGGGUGGUUAAGUCAGUGGUGAAAGUCUGGGGGUCAACCCUUGAAGUGCAUUUGAUACUGGCUGUCUGGAGUGCGGUUGAGGUAGGCGGAAUGCGUGGUGUAGCGGUGAAAUGCUUAGAUAUCACACAGAACUCCGAUUGCGAAGGCAGCUUACCAACCCGCGACUGACGUUGAUGCACGAAAGUGUGGGUAUCAAACAGGAUUAGAUACCCUAGUAGUC
rnacentral:rRNA from 1 species